rnacentral:rRNA from 1 species
UACGUAGGGCGCGAGCGUUAUCCGGAAUUAUUGGGCGUAAAGAGCUCGUAGGCGGUUCCGUAAGUCAGAUGUGAAAACUCAGGGCUCAACCCGGAGACGCCAUCUGAUACUGCGGUGACUGGAGUCUGGUAGGGGAACACGGAAUUCCUGGUGUAGCGGUGAAAUGCGCAGAUAUCAGGAGGAACACCGAUGGCGAAGGCAGUGUUCUGGGCCAGUACUGACGCUGAGGAGCGAAAGCGUGGGGAGCAAACAGG